rnacentral:pre_miRNA from 8 species
AUUAAAUUUCAAUCUAAAGCACAUUAAGAUCACUUCAAACAGGAGCAUUGAUUUGUCCUUUGUUCAUAAGUGCUUCUCUUUGGGGUAGUUUUAAUAAGGACAAGAACAACAAGCAAGAC